CACGUAGGGCGCAAGCGUUGUCCGGAAUUAUUGGGCGUAACGAGCUCGUAGGCGGUCUGUUACGUCCGCUGUGAAAACCCAGGGCUUAACCCUGGGCUUGCAGUGGAUACGGGCAGACUAGAGGCAGGUAGGGGAGAAUGGAAUUCCCGGUGUAGCGGUGAAAUGCGCAGAUAUCGGGAGGAACACCGGUGGCGAAGGCGGUUCUCUGGGCCUUACCUGACGCUGAGGAGCGAAAGCGUGGGGAGCGAACAGG
rnacentral:rRNA from 1 species